UACGUAGGGAGCAAGCGUUAUCCGGAUUUACUGGGUGUAAAACGCGUGUAGGCGGCAAUAUAAGUCAGAUGUUAAAGCUUUCGGCUUAACCGAAACCCGCAUUUGAUACUGUAUUGCUUGAGUGUUGGAGAGGAAAGCGGAACUCAUGGUGUAGCGGUGAAAUGCGUAGAUAUCAUGAGGAACACCGGUGGCGAAGGCGGCUUUCUGGACAACUACUGACGCUGAGACGCGAAAGCGUGGGGAGC
rnacentral:rRNA from 1 species